CUAGUAUCUCCUUGAUCCUUUGAUAAGAUGAGCUGAACAUAUUCAAGGUUUCUAGCGGGAAUCACUUCUUCGUGGCCAUUCUGGUGAUAAUGGUUGUACUCCAGGUGCUGAUGGUCCAAGAAUUGUAAAGAUGAGGCAGGGGAACCUUAUUUGUGUGGUGGAUGCAAUUA